GGCCAGUUAGCUCAGUUGGUUAGAGCGUGGUGCUAAUAAUGCCAAGGUCACAGGUUCAAUCCCUGUACGGGUCA
rnacentral:tRNA from 2 species